UACGUAGGGGGCAAGCGUUGCUCGGAAUUACUGGGCGUAAAGCGCACGUAGGCGGUCUUUUAAGUCGGGGGUGAAAUCCUGGAGCUCAACUCCAGAACUGCCUUCGAUACUGGAAGACUUGAGUCCGGGAGAGGUGAGUGGAACUGCGAGUGUAGAGGUGAAAUUCGUAGAUAUUCGCAAGAACACCAGUGGCGAAGGCGGCUCACUGGCCCGAUACUGACGCUGAUGCACGAAAGCGUGGGGAGCAAACAGG
rnacentral:rRNA from 1 species